rnacentral:rRNA from 1 species
CCCGGAGAUGGACCCUGAGACAGUGGUCCAGGUCCUACGGGGCGCAGCAGGCGCGAAACCUUCGCAAUGCGCGAAAGCGCGACGAGGUUACUCCGAGUGCCGCCCGCUGAGGGUGGCUUUUCCCAGGUCUAACUAGCUUGGGGAAUAAAGGGAGGGCAAGUCUGGUGUCAGCCGCCGCGGUAAUACCAGCUCCCUGAGUGGUCGGGAUGAUUAUUGGGCCUAAAGCAUCCGUAGCCGGCUUCGUAGGUCUUCCGUUAAAUCUAACGGCUUAACCGUUAGGCCGCGGGAGAUACCGCGAGGCUAGGAGGCGGGAGAGGCUGAUGGUACUCCGGGGGUAGGGGUAAAAUCCACUGAUCCUCGGAAGACCACCAAUGGCGAAGGCGGUCAGCCAGAACGCGCUCGACGGUGAGGGAUGAAAGCUGGGGGAGCGAACCGGAUUAGAUACCCGGGUAGUCCCAGCCGUAAACGAUGCGAGCUAGGUGAUGGAGCGACUAUGUGUUGCUCCGGUGCCGCAGGGAAGCCGUUAAGCUCGCCGCCUGGGGAGUACGGUCGCAAGGCUUGAAACUUAAAGGAAUUGGCGGGGGAGCACCACAAGGGGUGAAGCCUGCGGUUCAAUUGGAGUCAACGCCGGGAAUCUUACCAGGAGCGACAGCAGGAUGAAGGUCAGGUUGAAGACUUUACCAGACGAGCUGAGAGGAGGUGCAUGGCCGUCGUCAGCUCGUGCCGUGAGGUGUCCUGUUAAGUCAGGCAACGAGCGAGACCCCCACUGUUAGUUGCUUACAUCAACCUCGCAAGGGGUUGGUGUGGCUAAUUAAUGGGACUGCUACCGCUAAGGCGGAGGAAGGAGGAGGCGACGGCAGGUCAGUAUGCCCCGAAUCCCCUGGGCUACACGCGGGUCACAAUGCGCAGGACAAUGGGAUGCAACUCCGUAAGGAGAAGCCAAGCCCCUAAACCUGCGCUCGGUUCGGAUCGAGGGCUGCAACUCGCCCUCGUGAAGCUGGAAUCCCUAGUAAUCGCGUGCCAACACCGCGCGGUGAAUACGUCCCUGCUCCUUGCACACACCGCCCGUCAAAGCACUCGAGUAGGGCUCGGAUGAGGCUGGUUCAAGUUGGGCCGAUCGAAUCCG